rnacentral:rRNA from 1 species
AUUGAACGCUGGCGGCAGGCCUAACACAUGCAAGUCGAGCGGAUGAAGGGAGCUUGCUCCUGGAUUCAGCGGCGGACGGGUGAGUAAUGCCUAGGAAUCUGCCUGGUAGUGGGGGAUAACGUCCGGAAACGGGCGCUAAUACCGCAUACGUCCUGAGGGAGAAAGUGGGGGAUCUUCGGACCUCACGCUAUCAGAUGAGCCUAGGUCGGAUUAGCUAGUUGGUGGGGUAAAGGCCCACCAAGGUGACGAUCCGUAACUGGUCUGAGAGGAUGAUCAGUCACACUGGAACUGAGACACGGUCCAGACUCCUACGGGAGGCAGCAGUGGGGAAUAUUGGACAAUGGGCGAAAGCCUGAUCCAGCCAUGCCGCGUGUGUGAAGAAGGUCUUCGGAUUGUAAAGCACUUUAAGUUGGGAGGAAGGGCAGUAAGUUAAUACCUUGCUGUUUUGACGUUACCAACAGAAUAAGCACCGGCUAACUUCGU